CUUAAGAUCUACAACGCGAAUUUGUGACGCGGACGUGCUUACCUAAGCCUAGUUUUCGAGUGUAAGCCUAGUCAGAGUUGUCACAGUUUAUUUCUGCGAGAUUUGUGACACUGUUAUGACACGUUAACAGCCAUACGAAAUGAUAGAAACCAGGCUUUAUAGACUAUUGUUACGAAUGCACAUUUUCCCGCCAAAACUACCAUCCGAGACGACGUGAUAUUUGCAAAGAUUCGUCGUCAUAG